rnacentral:pre_miRNA from 1 species
GUGUUUUUGAUGCACUCAGCUUGACACGGCCGUGCUUGGAAGUCUGGAAAGUUUUCUUUCACGCUCCACUGAUGCUGCUGCUGCAAUGCGUGCUGACUCUCUCUCUCUCUCUUGGUCGUGUCAAGCUGUGUGCAUCACAACGCAUUGCUCGUUUUCA